GAGAAAACCAGCCCAUUGAAAAUAUCCUGCCAAGUCAUUUGGGGAUUUGUGGCAGAAACUCCAGUCUUGCGUCUGGACAUGGACCAUUUCUGGGGAAAACUGAGAGCUUUGCUAAAAGGAAGAGGGGAAAGCGGGGGCGCGCGUAUCCAGUGGUAUUUUCCCAUCUGGUACUUUGUAGAAGCCUUGCUCCCAGUAUGUACCUAAUUAAGGCUCCACAGACCUACGAGGCCCCAAGAGAGAGUGGUUACAUCAGUGCAGUCCUCAGCAGAACUGAGGAAAGAGCUUCAUCGUCCAAAACUGAGGAAAUGCCCAGAUUAACACAGAAUAGUAAACAAGGGAUCUUUCAAUUAUGGAAUUGUCCUCUUAAUGAAGGAAGUACCAUAGAGAAGAGGUCACCAUAGUGACAGCUAAUCAACAUGAUCCUUUCAUUUCUCAACUCGUCUUCAGAUAAAGCAAAGGACGGCAUAAGACAGACAAUAGAGACACAAUGAAGAAUCAAAGCCAUGCCUCCACUGAUCACUCUAUCAGAGUGUGGUUAGAAGCUGCAUGCCUACUUCAGAUCACUACAAGAGUUCCUGUUGUCCUAUCAACUGCUGAUGAUUUUAACAUUAAGUUUUUCCAAUUGUAGUCCCGCAUGACAAAUACCGCAUGACUGGCAUCCAAAGUUUCCUGUUUGUCGUUUUUCUUGGUUUCAGAUCAAGACGAGUAAGUGACGUACCCCUUCCUUCUGGAAGACUAUCUCAUGGCUGAAAAUAAUUUUGAAUAUAUUUAGGUUGUACAUCAAGACUUUACCUCACUCCAUUUGUGAUGUUUCUGGGCUGCUUUUAGAAUACACACGAGUUCAUGCAGCUGUUGGAUGUGCCACAAUUUUUAAAGAUGGCACUGUGAUGUGAUUUUUCAGAGUUCUCCAAUAAUCUGUGAUUGCAUCAAGCAGCAUGCUUUUGCAUGGUGUUACAAUGAACUCUAAAGUUAAUAUAAAAUGUGAACUUACGAUAAUAGCCUUCUGCAUCGGUCCAGUUAUCUCUGAGGUUGGGAUUCUCUUUGAAAUCUUUUCCAAUGCCAGCGGCCCGAAGACGAGCACUCUGAAAUUAAAGAGGCAACAUGAACAGUUUACCCACUUGUCAGACAUUUAACGCACUUCCUUUAAAACACAAAAGGGUAACACCAGAUAUAAUUUAAUAAAAGCAUUUUAUUCCAAAUUAAA
rnacentral:lncRNA from 1 species